rnacentral:misc_RNA from 1 species
AAGUCGUAACAAGGUUUCCGUAGGUGAACCUGCGGAAGGAUCAUUAACACAAUUUUGAUUCACAAAUCUCUUUGCUUCGUUGUCUUUUUUCUAGAUGCAAGAAAUUUCAUCUAGAGAAGAGAAGAGCAACAAGCAAUUAACCCCCUUUUCUAUGACGAAAAAUCUUUACAAAAGAAUGGAAGAAAAAGGAAUGUGUUUCGUCACAAUCCGUUUCAACCGUUUUUUUCCUUUACCCAAUUUUUUUUACCCCUUUUACAACCUGUAAUAGACUGAAAACAAAAAUCAUAUUCUAGAUCUCUAGAAUCUAAAACUAAGAAAACAACUCUUAGCAACGGAUAUCUAGGUUCUC